rnacentral:rRNA from 1 species
CAGCACCUCAAGUGGUCAGGAUGAUUAUUGGGCCUAAAGCAUCCGUAGCCGGCGCUGUAAGUUUUCGGUUAAAUCUGUACGCUCAACGUACAGGCUGCCGGGAAUACUGCAGCGCUAGGGAGUGGGAGAGGUAAACGGUACUCGGUAGGAAGGGGUAAAAUCCUUUGAUCUAUUGAUGACCGCCUGUGGCGAAGGCGGUCUACCAGAACACGUCCGACGGUGAGGGAUGAAAGCUGGGGGAGCAAACCGGAUUAGAUACCCGAGUAGUCC